rnacentral:misc_RNA from 1 species
AUUUUGCAACAGGAUUUAAUAAUUUAUUCUUAUAAGGUCUGUGUUUGGAAUAAAUUGCUUCACAUCAUUGCCUAUCAAAUAGACCUUCAAAAUGACUCCUUCAAUAUCUAUUAAGUUUCAACAUUCAAUCAAAUCUCAGUAAAACUGAAAACAUACUAUCACCAUAUAAUUUUGAAUUCAUCAUAUAUCAGUAAAACCUUCGAGGAUAGCGAUCCAUCAACCUUCCAGA